AUGGAAAGACAUCCGGAAACACAAGAUUCUUCUACUACAUGUGCUGUUUGUUUGAACAAAAUGAAAAUGGAAGACGAGGUUCGAGAAUUGAUGAACUGUUGCCAUAAAUGGUUGGAACAUGGUUAUGAGAAUAUUGACAAUUGUAAUCAGACUUGUCCUCUUUGUAGAGCUCCUUUGAUUACUACUAGUUAUUAUGUUUCUUCCGAGGUUUUGACUGCUUGUGUUUCUCCUAACCAACCUAGUUGGGUUGUUGAGAGACUUCUUUAUCUCUUUGGUAAUGAUAACAAUUAA